CCUGCGGAGGGAUCAUUACACAAAUAUGAAGGCGGGCUGGAACCUCUCGGGGUUACAGCCUUGCUGAAUUAUUCACCCUUGUCUUUUGCGUACUUCUUGUUUCCUUGGUGGGUUCGCCCACCACUAGGACAAACAUAAACCUUUUGUAAUUGCAAUCAGCGUCAGUAACAAAUUAAUAAUUACAACUUUCAACAACGGAUCUCUUGGUUCUGGCAUCGAUGAAGAACGCAGCGAAAUGCGAUAAGUAGUGUGAAUUGCAGAAUUCAGUGAAUCAUCGAAUCUUUGAACGCACAUUGCGCCCUUUGGUAUUCCAAAGGGCAUGCCUGUUCGAGCGUCAUUUGUACCCUCAAGCUUUGCUUGGUGUUGGGCGUCUUGUCUCUAGCUUUGCUGGAGACUCGCCUUAAAGUAAUUGGCAGCCGGCCUACUGGUUUCGGAGCGCAGCACAAGUCGCACUCUCUAUCAGCAAAGGUCUAGCAUCCAUUAAGCCUUUUUUUCAACUUUUGACCUCGGAUCAGGUAGGGAUACCCGCUGAACUUAAGCAUAUCA
rnacentral:rRNA from 1 species